rnacentral:rRNA from 1 species
UUCCGGUUGAUCCUGCCAGAGGUUACUGCUAUCGGAGUUCGAUUAAGCCAUGCGAGUCUAAAGGUUUCUUCGGAAACCUUGGCAGACUGCUCAGUAACACGUGGAUAACCUACCCUUGGGACUGGAAUAACCCCGGGAAACUGGGGAUAAUACCGGAUAGAUCAUGGAUGCUGGAAUGCACCUUGAUCCAAAGCUCCGGCGCCCAAGGAUGGGUCUGCGGCCUAUCAGGUUGUAGUGGGUGUAACGUACCUACUAGCCAGCGACGGGUACGGGUUGUGAGAGCAAGAGCCCGGAGAUGGAUUCUGAGACACGAAUCCAGGCCCUACGGGGUGCAGCAGGCGCGAAACCUUUACAAUGUGCGAAAGCAUGAUAAGGGAACUCCGAGUGCCAGUAUCUAAUACUGGCUGUCCUUGUGCCUAAAACGCACAAGAUAGCAAGGGCCGGGUAAGACCGGUGCCAGCCGCCGCGGUAACACCGGCGGCCCGAGUGGUAGCCGCUAUUAUUGGGUCUAAAGGGUCCGUAGCCGGUUCGAUAAGUCCUCUGGGAAAUCUGGUUGCUUAACAAUCAGACUGCCAAGGGAUACUGUCGAACUUGAGACCGGGAGAGGUAAGAGGUACUUCAGGGGUAGGAGUGAAAUCUUGUAAUCCCUGGGGGACCAUCUGUGGCGAAGGCGUCUUACCAGAACGGGUCUGACGGUGAGGGACGAAAGCUGGGGGCGCAAACCGGAUUAGAUACCCGGGUAGUCCCAGCCGUAAACGAUGCUCGCUAUGUGUCAGGUACGGUGUGACCGUAUCUGGUGCCGUAGGGAAGCCGUGAAGCGAGCCACCUGGGAAGUACGGUCGCAAGACUGAAACUUAAAGGAAUUGGCGGGGGAGCACUACAACGGGUGGAGCCUGCGGUUUAAUUGGAUUCAACGCCGGG